UUAAGUCAUUUUCAGCCCUUCUGGACGCGAGGAAAUCAAUAGAAAACGUCCGAGCGAGUGAUGUGGGGGACGAUUGGGCCAGUGACUCGGGUCGGAGCGGGCAGGACUGAAGCUCCGCGCUGCCCGCUGUGGCUCCGGCGGGUGUCACGCGGUGGCUGCUUCAGCGGACUCUCCACCCGCGUCGCGGGGCGUGGGACCCUGCAGCCCCCGGUGUGCAUCCUGGCUUUGCUCCUGCUCUGUCGUCAGUUGGGAAGAAAAAAAAAAUCACAAUAUAUUCCUGUGUGUGCGCGCGUGUUACAGGGUCCUUUAAAGGUGGCAUGAAAACAGUCGAAUUUUCCCUUGCGAAGUUUUGUGCUCGGUCCUUCGUUAUCUUUACCAGACUGUGUCAGCAGUUGCAGGUCUGCUGACAAAAAGUUUACACCAUUUUAAAAAGAAAAGAUUCCGCUCUUGAGUUGUGUAUUGUUUAAUUGGCUUGUAGAAAAUACUUUCUCUUGUUUAGUACGUGCUUCAUUGCCCUUUGAGUUUUUAAUUGCAAAAUGAUAUUACAAAAUAAAUAUUUUUAGAAGUUCAUAAAGAAAUAAUUGGUGGAUAAACGGUCCUUUUAGGUUCCAAGGUUAAGAGAGAAGAAAUUUGAAGAUAAUGUGGUUUGAAGACAGUAGGCUGAGAUUACACUUUUUUUUUUUUUUUUUGGAAUAUCA